rnacentral:rRNA from 1 species
GAUGGACGCUGGCGGCGUGCCUAAUACAUGCAAGUCGAGCGAACAGACGAGGAGCUUGCUCCUCUGACGUUAGCGGCGGACGGGUGAGUAACACGUGGAUAACCUACCUAUAAGACUGGGAUAACUUCAGGAAACCGGAGCUAAUACCGGAUAAUAUAUUGAACCGCAUGGUUCAAUAGUGAAAGACGGUUUUGCUGUCACUUAUAGAUGGAUCCGCGCCGCAUUAGCUAGUUGGUAAGGUAACGGCUUACCAAGGCAACGAUGCGUAGCCGACCUGAGAGGGUGAUCGGCCACACUGGAACUGAGACACGGUCCAGACUCCUACGGGAGGCAGCAGUAGGGAAUCUUCCGCAAUGGGCGAAAGCCUGACGGAGCAACGCCGCGUGAGUGAUGAAGGUCUUCGGAUUGUAAAACUCUGUUAUUAGGGAAGAACAAAUGUGUAAGUAACUAUGCACGUCUUGACGGUACCUAAUCAGAAAGCCACGGCUAACUACGUG